CCCUCCUACAAAGGCGUGUCUUUGGUUCCCAGUCUUUGGAGGAAAAGAAAUGUGGAUUUGGAGAAAUGUGGAUUUGGAGAAGUGUGGGGCCAGCUUGCUCCUCCAGGACUCCAAGCAAUCAUUCCACAUAG
ensembl:snoRNA